rnacentral:misc_RNA from 1 species
UAUCAUCCGAAGAAGCGGCAAGCAAUGGCGACGAAGUAGAAUUCAGCAAAAAAUAUAUAAUAUAAUCGAACGAUUCCUUAUUCACAGUUGUCAACAUGCAGCUACGCUACAUGAAAACGUUGAUGAACCCACAGGAUGGCGCCUGUAAAGUCACUGCAAUAGCUUGUGCACCAAGCAACCAAAAGAUGGCUGUUGUUACCAUGGAUAGAGUAGUAAUUCUUUAUGAUGAACUUGGGGAAAAAAGAGACAAGUUUUCUACAAAACCAGCAAAUCCACAGGCUGGUAAGAAAAGCUAUAUAGUGAAAGGACUGGCUUUUUCACCAGAUUCUACUAAAAUUGCUGUUGGACAAACCGAUAACAUUAUUUUUGUCUACAAGAUUGGUGAAGAAUGGGGAGACAAGAAAGUUAUAUGUAACAAAUUCAUUCAACAAAGUGCUGUAACAUGCCUUAUUUGGCCUCCUGAACAGCAAAAUAUCAUCUUUGGACUAGCAGAUGGCAAGGUGAGACUUGCUAGUUUAAAGAACAACAAGUCCCAAACUAUAUAUGGAACAGAUAGCUUUGUUGUUUCACUGACUCACAAUAUCUCUGGCAAAGGUAUUCUUUCAGGACAUGCUGAUGGUGCAAUUGUCAGAUAUUUUUUUGAUGACGAAGGAACUGGAUUGUCACAGGGCCAACUGUGUAAGCAUUCUUGUCCCCCGUAUGCUUUAUGUUGGGGCUCAUCAAUAGUAGCAGCUGGAUGUGAUAAAAGAGUUGUUGCCUAUGGCAAGGAAGGGCGUGUUAUCCAGAACUUUGAUUACUCAAGAGAUGAUGAUGAAAAAGAGUUUACUACAGCUGUGUGUAGUCCUAGUGGCCAGUCAGUGGUGAUUGGGAGCUUUGAUAGAUUAAGAGUUUAUAACUGGAGUCCACGAAAAGGAUCAUGGGAUGAAUCAAAAUUGAAAGAAAUUCCCAAUCUCUACACCAUUACAGCAUUGUCAUGGAAACGGGAUGGCUCAAGGCUUAUAGCGGGAACACUGUGUGGUGGUGUUGAACUAUUUGAUUGCUGUUUAAGACGUUCCAUUUAUAAGAAUAAGUUUGAAAUGACAUAUGUUGGGCUUAGUCAGGUCAUUGUUAAAAAUCUUUCAUCUGGAACACGUGUUGUUCUGAAGUCACACUAUGGCUAUGAGGUUGAUAAAGUCAGCAUUAUGGGAAAAGAUCGUUACUUGGUGGCUUACACUACGGACACAUUAUUACUUGGUGAUCUUAACACCAACAAGCUAAGUGAAGUUGCAUGGCAAGGUUCAGGUGGAAAUGAAAAGUACUUUUUUGAAAAUGAAAAUGUGUGUAUGGUGUUUAAUGCUGGAGAGCUGUCUCUAGUAGAAUAUGGUAACAAUGAGAUCCUUGGAACUGUGAGAACUGAGUUCAUGAAUCCUCAUCUUAUUAGUGUUCGUCUUAAUGAACGCAAGCAACAGGGAAUUGAUGACAACAAAAAGAUGGCAUACUUGGUCGAUUUGAAGACUAUCAGUGUUGUUGAUCUUCUGUCUGGCAUUAUAGAAGCAACUAUCAGUCAUGACUCUAAGAUUGAUUGGCUUGAGCUCAAUGAAACUGGGAAAUAUUUACUAUUUAGAGAUAAAAAACUGAAACUCCAUCUUUUGAAUGUGGAAAGCCAAACCCGUACAACUAUCUUGAAUUAUUGCACAUAUGUUCAGUGGGUACCAAUGAGUGACGUUGUAGUUGCACAAAACAGAGGGAACCUUUGUAUUUGGUACAACAUUGAUUCACCUGAAAGAGUGACCAUGUUUCCUAUAAAGGGAGAAAUUUUGGACCUUGAGCGAGUUGAUGGUAAAACAGAAGUUAUAGUAAAUGAAGGUGUCACCAAUAUAUCAUACACAUUAGAUGAAGGUCUGAUUGAGUUUGGUACAGCUAUAGAUGAUGGCGACUAUGUCAGGGCUAUAACUUUUCUGGAAAGUCUUGAGAUGUCACCUGAGACUAAUGCUAUGUGGAAGACCUUGAGUAAACUAGCUCUUGAGGGACGUCAACUUCAUAUCGCUGAGCGUUGUUUUUCUGCACUUGGAGAUGUAUCUAAAUCCAAAGCACUUAGACAAAUCAACAAAAUAGUUGACCAAGCAGCUGAUGAAAUGGGGGGAGAUGGUACAAAUCAUGUGCUUGUAAGAGCAAAACUUGCUGUUUUGGACAAGAAUUUCAAACUUGCAGAAACAAUUCUGUUAGAACAAGGUCAUGUGGAUGAAGCCAUUGAGAUGUAUCAAGAACUUCAUAAAUGGGAUGAGGCUAUUGCAGUUGCUGAAGCUAAGGGUCAUCCUGAGUUGGAAAAUCUUCGUUCCAAUCACUAUCACUGGUUAUCAGAUACUGGGCAAGAAGAAAAGGCUGGUGAGGUCAAAGAAAUGGAAGGUAACUACCUGGAAGCCAUUAAUUUAUAUAUGAAGGCUGGUUUGCCUGCUAAAGCUGCAAGACUUGCCAUGAGUAGAGAGGAGCUUUACCAGUCAACAGACUUGAUGGAGCGCAUUGCAUCAUCUUUACUAAAAGGAGGUUUAUAUGAAAAGGCUGGAGAGCUGUUUGAGAAAGUUGGCCGUAAUGACAGAGCAUUAGAGGCAUAUAGAAAAGGUGGAGCAUAUAGAAGAGCUGUUGAGCUGUCUCGUGCUUCCUACCCUCAUGAGGUUGUCAAGCUGGAGGAAGAAUGGGGUGAUCAUUUGGCAUCACAAAAACAACUGGAUGCUGCAAUCAAUCAUUACAUUGAAGCAGGGUGUUCAGUGAAGGCUAUUGAAGCUGCUAUUCAGGCCAGACAAUGGAACAAAGCAGUACAGAUAGUUGAACUACAAGAGGAUGCUGUUGCAGAGAGGUAUUACCACCACAUUGCACAGCACUAUUCCCAAGUACAGGAAUACAAGAUGGCUGAGAAGUUUUAUGUCAAGUCUGGGGAUCCAAGAGCAGCUAUUGAGAUGUAUACUAAAGCCAACAUGUAUGAAGCAGCACAUAAGAUUGCAGUACAGUGUAUGAAGCCUGAAGAAGUUGCAGUACUAUACAUAUCUCAAGCUCAAGAACUUGAGGCUCAAGGCCGAUUCAAGGAAGCAGAAAGAUUAUACUGCACUGUGGAUGAACCUGAUUUGGCUAUUAACAUGUACAAGAAAUUAAGACAGUAUGAUCACAUGAUAAGACUUGUCACUAUUUAUCAUAAAGACCUUUUGGUUGAUACUCACUUGCACCUUGCAAAGGAAUUUGAAAAUGAGAGUCAGCUGCGCCAAGCAGAGCAUCAUUACCUUGAAGCCAAAGAAUGGAAAGCAGCAGUUAAUAUGUAUCGUGCUAAUGAUAUGUGGGAAGAAGCAUACAGGACUGCUAAGCAAAAUGGUGGACCUAAUGCAGCAAAACAAGUAGCAUAUUUGUGGGCUAAAGGCUUAGGUGGUGAUUCAGCAGUGAAACUGCUGACAAAGUUUGGUCUGCUAGAAGCAGCUAUUGACUAUGCAGCAGAAAACUGUGCUUUUGAAUUUGCCUUUGAUCUGGCCCGUACAUCCAUGAAGCACAAGUUACCAGAUAUUCACCUUAAGUAUGCCAUGUACUUGGAAGAUGAAGGGAAAUACAAGGAUGCAGAAGAACAGUUUGUUAAAGCAGGGAGAGCUAAAGAGGCUGUGCUCAUGUAUGUUCAUAACCAAGACUGGGAUAGUGCACAACGAGUUGCUGAAGAGCAUGAUCCAGACAGUGUUGCAGACGUCAUGGUUGGACAGGCACGUGUAGCAUUUGAUCGUAAAGAGUAUCAAAAGACAGAAACCUUCCUGCUUCGAGCACAAAGACCAGAGCUUGCAGCCAAGUACUAUAAGGAUGCUGGAAUGUGGACAGAUGCACUACGGGUUGUCAAGGAAUAUCUACCACAUAAGCUGGAGCAAUGGCAGGAUGAGUAUGAUAGAGAAGUGCUUUCAAAGGGCAAUAGAGGUGCAGAGUCAUUACUAUCACAAGGCAAGGAAUGGGAGAAAAAGGGAGAAUACACAAGAGCCAUUGAUAUGUAUAUGAAGAUAACACCUAGUAUGACUAGUGAUCAUGACUUGGUAGAGGAUGCUAUGGUUAAGGCUGUAGAGUUAGCAAUGAAGUUCGUUCCUGAUCGUGCUGUAGAUAUAGCAAGUAUAGCCUGCCCUCGUCUGGCUGAUAUUAAGGCAUAUGAACAAGGUGCAGAGUUGUAUAUAGGUGUGGAAAUGAUUAAGGAGGCUAUUGACUUGUAUAUUGAUGGUGAAUUAUGGCCUAAAGCAAAGCGCUGUGCAGCUGAGAUAGCACCAAGGUAUGAACAGUAUGUUGAAGAUGCAUAUGUUAAGUUCUUAAAAAACAAAGGACAAGCAGAACAGCUUGUAGAUGUUGAUGUUAUUGCUGGACUUGACAUGAUGGUCCAGCGUGGUCAGUGGGAUAAGGCUAUUGAGACUGCUGAACAACAGGGCUACGAGGUUCUUAGCAAGUACGUUGCACUGUAUGCUGCUAGCAGUAUAAAAGAUGGCAAUUCUUUAAAGGCUCUGGAACUGUUUGCUCGAUAUGGAGCACCAUGUAACUCACAGGUAAUUAGUUUGAUGGUGAGUGAGUAUGAGCACCAUGUAACUCACAGAACUUCAACAUUUAUAAACGCAUUGUGAAUGAUGUUGUUUCAAUGCCUGACCUUGAUGGUCCUGAGAGCUACCGAACUUGGGCUGAUCUCAGAGAUGUUCUCUAUGAUAUUGUGGAGAGUAUGUCAAAAGCAGGUGAUAGCAGUUCAACGCAAUACAAAGAGUUUGAGGAAAUGCUUCAAAUUGCACAUUACUACAGUAACCGUGCUGCAGCACUGCAACAGAAAUCACUG